rnacentral:misc_RNA from 1 species
AGCGAGUAUGGCCCUCACGGGUCUAAUCCACCAUAAAACACCUUUGUGAACCAGUCCAGGGGGACUCGGCCGUUGAAAGCCCAGGCGAUUAGCGGAAGGGCCCCUCCCUUUGCAAACCCGUUUAGAAGUCUUGAAAGUACUUUUGUAUAAUCUAGUA